AUGGACAUGAGGGACCCCUCUCAGCUCCUGGGGCUUUUGCUGCUCUGGUUUUCAGGUAUGAGAUGUGACAUCCUAAUGACUCAGUCUCCAUCCUUGCUGUCUGCAUCCCUGGGAGACAGAGUCACUAUCAACUGCAAGGCCAGUGAGAACAUUAAUAGUUGGUUAGCUUGGUAUCAGCAGAAACCAGGGGAAGCUCCUAAACUCCUGAUCUAUGGUGCAUCCAAUCUGCAAACUGGGAUCCCAUCAAGGUUCAGUUGCAGUGGAUCUGGUACAGAUUAUACUCUCACCAUCAACAAACUGGAGUCUGAAGACAUUGCCACUUACGUCUGUCAGCAGGGUAGUAACUCUCCUACAGUGAUUCAAGUCGUAACAUAA